rnacentral:rRNA from 1 species
AGAGGAAGUAAAAGUCGUAACAAGGUUUCCGUAGGUGAACCUGCGGAAGGAUCAUUAUUGAAAUAAACCUGAUGAGUUGCUGCUGGUUCUCUAGRGAGCAUGUGCACACUUGUCAUCUUUGUAUCUUCACCUGUGCACCUUUUGUAGACCUUGGGUAUCUCUCUGAUUGCUUAGCACUCAGGAUUGAGGAUUGACUUUCUGUCUCUUCUUACAUUUCCAGGUCUAUGUUUCUUCAUAUGCCCUAAUGUAUGUUUAUAGAAUGUAAUUAAUGGGCCUUUGUGCCUAUAAAUCUAUACAACUUUCAGCAACGGAUCUCUUGGCUCUCGCAUCGAUGAAGAACGCAGCGAAAUGCGAUAAGUAAUGUGAAUUGCAGAAUUCAGUGAAUCAUCGAAUCUUUGAACGCACCUUGCGCUCCUUGGUAUUCCGAGGAGCAUGCCUGUUUGAGUGUCAUUAAUAUAUCAACCUCUUUGGUUGGAUGUGGGUUUGCUGGCCUCUUGAGGUCUAGCUCUCCUCAAAUGCAUUAGCUGACAAUAUUUUGCCAAACGUUCAUUGGUGUGAUAAUUAUCUACGCUAUUGACGUGAAGCAGGUUUAGCUUCUAACAGUCCAUUGACUUGGACAGAUUUCUAUUUAUUAAUGUGACCUCAAAUCAGGUAGGACUACCCGCUGAACUUAAGCAUAUCAAUAAGCGGAGGAAAAGAAACUAACAAGGAUUCCCCUAGUAACUGCGAGUGAAGCGGGAAAAGCUCAAAUUUAAAAUCUGGCAGUCUUUGGCUGUCCGAGUUGUAAUCUAGAGAAGCAUUAUCCGCGCUGGACUGUGUACAAGUCUCCUGGAAUGGAGCAUCAUAGAGGGUGAGAAUCCCGUCUUUGACACAGACUACCAGGGCUUUGUGAUGUGCUCUCAA